rnacentral:rRNA from 1 species
GAGGAAAGAUGGAGGCGUGCCUAAUACAUGCAAGUCGAGCGAACAGACGAGGAGCUUGCUCCUCUGACGUUAGCGGCGGACGGGUGAGUAACACGUGGAUAACCUACCUAUAAGACUGGGAUAACUUCGGGAAACCGGAGCUAAUACCGGAUAAUAUAUUGAACCGCAUGGUUCAAUAGUGAAAGACGGUUUUGCUGUCACUUAUAGAUGGAUCCGCGCCGCAUUAGCUAGUUGGUAAGGUAACGGCUUACCAAGGCAACGAUGCGUAGCCGACCUGAGAGGGUGAUCGGCCACACUGGAACUGAGACACGGUCCAGACUCCUACGGGAGGCAGCAGUAGGGAAUCUUCCGCAAUGGGCGAAAGCUUGACGGAGCAACGCCGCGUGAGUGAUGAAGGUCUUCGGAUCGUAAAACUCUGUUAUUAGGGAAGAACAAAUGUGUAAGUAACUAUGCACGUCUUGACGGUACCUAAUCAGAAAGCCACGGCUAACUACGUG